CUCUUUUUUACUUGAAAUGUUCUGACCAACUUGUUAAUUAUUCGUAACAGGAGGCCCAAUCUAAUCGUUUGAAAUCCCGUAACCCGGCCGCCAUUUUAAAAGCGGAAAUGGCCAUUCGGUCGAUCCCAUCCAAAGGCAAGGCCUGUUUGGACCGAUUUUCAAUGGCGGCCAACGGGACCAUCCGUCCCACCAUUUCUAGUUCCAUCAACGGUCAAAGGCAGUGCAGCUUCUUCAUAGACGCACCAGCCGAUAAGCUCAUCCAGAUGACUUGCUCGGUCAUCAAACUAAAUAGUUCGGGCUCCGGAUUAGCCAUUUACGGAGCUGCCGAAAUCAACGUCAAUCCGCCCGUCGUCAAUCGAAUUUACACGUCAAGGAGCGACAGCAUGUUCCUGUUUUUCAAGGUCGACAAUACGGACUGGUUCGACUGCAAAUGGAAAAUGAUUUCCGCUCCGCAAACAACUGAAUAUCAACUCUGUCGCGAUGGAACAUCCACCACUCCCAAGGGAACAAUUCAGCUAUCAGCGGACGAUACCAGCACAGAUCCGAGAAUGUGCAUGUUUGUCAUUACCGUUCCUUCCGACCACCGAAUUCAGUUGAUGUGCUCCAACGUGACCCUCACCAGCCCUGAUAAUUAUUUACAGUUCCAAACGGUUUCCGAAACUGUGAUAGCCGAUCCACCUGCAAUGAAUCGGGUCUACACUUCGACCAGCGAAAUCAUUUACCUGUUUUCUCAAUUCAGCAAUCAAGACUCUUUCAAAUGCCAAUGGACGACGGUUAUGAUCCCACCACUGACAAAUGAUAACAAACUCUGUCGGGAAAAAAUCACGAAAUCUGCCAGCGGAUCCAUUCAACCGUUAAUGGCUAACGGCACAAAUGUUCAACCGAAUUCCUGUUCGUUUAUCAUCGAAGUUCCUCCUAAUCAAUUGACUGAGAUUUCUUGCCCGGUCAUCAAUUUCACUAGCCCAGGAAGUUAUUUGCAUUUCAGCGGAAUUUCUGAUUUAAACAUGGCUCUUACGCCCCUGGCCAACCGAGUGUACACUUCCGGCGUCGAUUUGAUUCAUUUGAAUUCUCAAAUUGACGUCAGUAAAGAUUGGUUUAAUUGCACAUGGUCAGCUCUUCCGGCUCCAUCGACGACGGAUUUCAAACUCUGUCGCCAUGGAGGAACAACAUCGUCCAGUGGGACCCUCCAACCAUUUUUAGAGGAUCUUAAAACGGGAGAACCGAGAGAAUGCUAUUUCUUCAUCGACGUGCCUUUGAAUGAGGAAAUUGAGAUUUUGUGUUCAUCCAUGAACUUGUCAAGUCCUGGAAGUUAUUUGCGGGUUGUUGGUGUGUCUGAUUUUGACGAGAAUCCGCCCGUAGAAAACGGAAUUUAUUUGUCGAAUGGAACGAGAGUCCUUGUGUAUUCGCAAUUCAACAACGGAGAUUGGUUCGAUUGCAUUUGGGCGUCAACAACCUGCCCUGCUCUGCUGACGACGACAUCGGACUCCUCAAUUGCUACUACACCGACUUUGUUCGGAAAAACUUCUUUGUCGACAACAACAACCACGGGAGUCGCCGAAACGUCGACCACGUCGAGCACAACAACAGUUCCAACAACAUCCACAACGACUUCAACAACACCCCAAACAACAACGGUCUCCACCACUACCACCGCACUGCCAACCACUUCAACAACUAGACCAUCAACGACGUCGAGCACAACAACAGUUCCAACAACAUCCACUACACCAUCUACCACGACUUCAACAACACCACAAACUACAACAGUCUCAACCACUACCACCGCACAGCCAACCACCUCAACAACAAGUUCAUCAACAUCGACGACACAGCCAACUACAACCACACAGCCAACUACAACCACGCGACCGCCAACGACUACCGUCGCACCUGUGACAUGCACUGCUCUUGCGGAACUUGUACGAUUCAGUCGUCAACCAGUGGAACGAUCCAGUCUUAUAACUACCCCUAUGACUCCGGAUCGGCCAAUCCUUCUAAUGCUGCUCGAGUUUUUUGCCGUUAUACGAUCACUGCACCACCAGGCAUGAAAAUACGAUUGGAAUUCACCACGUUCGUCGUCGAAUCUACCAAAGACUUUAUCACUGUUUAUGACGGAAUACCUCCGGCUGAAACGCUUAUAUCGAGAAAUCUCACCGGUUACAUGGGUUACAGCAGUACAUCCAUUACACCCUCUAAUCCGUAUACGACUGCCGCGACUAAUCAAAUGCGAGUCAAUUUC
rnacentral:misc_RNA from 1 species